rnacentral:rRNA from 1 species
UACCAGCUCUCCGAGUGGUGUGGAUGUCUAUUGGGCCUAAAGCAUCCGUAGCUGGCCAAGUUAGUCCCCUGUUAAAUCCACCGAAUUAAUCGUUGGAAUGCGGGGGAUACUGCUCGGCUAGGGGACGAGAGAGGCCGACGGUAUUUUCGGGGUAGGGGUGAAAUCCUAUAAUCCCGGGAAGACCACCAGUGGCGAAGGCUGUCGGAUAGAACGUGCUCGACGGUGAGGGAUGAAAGCUGGGGGAGCGAACCGGAUUAGAUACCCGGGUAGUCCCAGCUGUAAACGAUGCAGGCUAGGUGUUUGGGCGGCCACGUGCCGCUCUAGUGCCGCAGGGAAGCUGCUAAGCCUGCCGCCUGGGGAGUACGGCCGCAAGGCUGAAACUUAAAGGAAUUGGCGGGGGAGCACCACAAGGGGUGAAGCUUGCGGUUU